rnacentral:lncRNA from 1 species
CCCCGCGACUCACUGGCAUCCGCUCUCAUUCCGCUUUGUCACGUCCAAGCAGGAAAUCACCCCGCAACUGCCUCUGCACGGGCUCUGUAGCAAGCUUCUUAGGCUUUAUCUCCCUCAGAAACAAAGGAAACAACUUCCAUACGAAUAAAGGAAACAUUAUACGAAACUUUCAUCGUAUAAAUUUACCCUAAAGUGGAAAAAAGUUUUCUACCACCAUGGGCAUACUCGGCCUGUCAAUCUCGAUAAACGCCAUUCGUCAUUCGCCCAAUUACAUCUUUCCUUCGAAGCCGAACUAGGUUACAGCAUCUCCUUUAAGG